UGGGGAAUAUUGGACAAUGGGCGAAAGCCUGAUCCAGCCAUGCCGCGUGUGUGAAGAAGGUCUUCGGAUUGUAAAGCACUUUAAGUUGGGAGGAAGGGCAGUAAGCGAAUACCUUGCUGUUUUGACGUUACCGACAGAAUAAGCACCAGCUAACUCUGUGCCAGCAGCCGCGGUAAUACAGAGGGUGCAAGCGUUAAUCGGAAUUACUGGGCGUAAAGCGCGCGUAGGUGGUUCGUUAAGUUGAAUGUGAAAGCCCCGGGCUCAACCUGGGAACUGCAUCCAAAACUGGCGAGCUAGAGUAGGGCAGAGGGUGGUGGAAUUUCCUGUGUAGCGGUGAAAUGCGUAGAUAUAGGAAGGAACACCAGUGGCGAAGGCGACCACCUGGGCUCAUACUGACACUGAGGUGCGAAAGCGUGGGGAGCAAACAGG
rnacentral:rRNA from 1 species